rnacentral:rRNA from 1 species
UGGCGGACGGGUGAGUAAUGUCUGGGAAACUGCCCGAUGGAGGGGGAUAACUACUGGAAACGGUAGCUAAUACCGCAUAACGUCGCAAGACCAAAGAGGGGGACCUUCGGGCCUCUUGCCAUCGGAUGUGCCCAGAUGGGAUUAGCUAGUAGGUGGGGUAAAGGCUCACCUAGGCGACGAUCCCUAGCUGGCCUGAGAGGAUGACCAGCCACACUGGAACUGAGACACGGUCCAG